rnacentral:lncRNA from 1 species
UGUCUCUGUUGAGAAGUCUGGUAUAAUUCUGAUUAGUCUGCCUAAUCAGAAUUAUAUAUAUAGAAUUAUUAUAUAUAAUGUGUUACUUGGCCUUUUUUCCUUGCAGCUUUUAAUAUUCUUUAUUUGUUCUGUGCAUUUAUUUAAGGUCUACAUGAUCUCUGUCCAGGAUCUUGUGGCUUUUAUUGUCUCUGUUGAGAAGUCUGGUAUAAUUCUGAUUAGUCUGCCUAAUCAGAAUUAUAUAUAUAGAAUUAUUAUAUAUAAUGUGUUACUUGGCCUUUUUUCCUUGCAGCUUUUAAUAUUCUUUAUUUGUUCUGUGCAUUUAUUUUGCAAUUAUUAUGUGAAAAAGAAUUUUAUCUUCUGAUCCAAUCUAUUUGGUGUUCUAUAAGCUUCUUGUACAUAUAUGGCCAUAAUUUUCUUUUGAUUGCGGAAGUUUUAUUCUAUGAUUUUUUUGAAGAUCUUUUCAGGUCCUUUAGGCUGGAUAUAUUUUUUUAAUGAGGUAUUUUCCUCGUUUACAUUUUCAAUGCUAUCCCCAAAGUCCCCCAUACACACCCCCCCAACCCCCUAUCCACCCACUCCCCCUUUUUGGCCCUGGCGUUCCCCUGUACUGGGGCAUAUAAAGUUUGCAAGUCCAAUGGGCCUCUCUUUGCAGUGAUGGCCGACUAGGCCAUCUUUUGAUACAUAUGCAGCUAGAGACAAGAGCUCGCGGGUACUGGUUAGUUCAUAUUGUUGUUCCACCUAUAGGGUUGCAGUUCCCUUUAGCUCCUUGGGUAAUUUCUCUAGCUCCUCCAUUGGGGGCCGUGUGACCCAUCCAAUAGCUGACUGUGAUCAUCCACUUUUGUGUUUGCUAGGCCCCAGCAUAGUCUCACAAGAGACAGCUAUAUCUGGGUCCUUUCAGCAAAAUGUGGACACUUUGCCCCUUCUUAGAAAUGGGAACAAAACACCCAUGGAAGGAGUUACAGAGACAAAAUCUGGAGCUAUGACGAAAGUUUGGACCAUCUAGUGAUUGCCAUAUGCAGGGAUCCAUCCCAUAAUGAGCUGGAUAUCUUAUCUCUCCUCAACUCCAAUUAUUAUUAUUAAAUUUGGUCUUUUCAUCAAGUGCUGCAUUUCUUGGAUGUUUUGAAUUUUCUUUGACAGUUGUGUCAACAUCUUCUAAAGUAUUUUCUACAUCUGAGAUCCUUCUACCUCUUAUAUUCUACUGGUGAUGCUUAUAUCUGUAAUUCCUGACAUCUUUCAUGGGUUUUCCAUUUCACAGAGUUGCCUCUAUUUGUGUUUUCUUUUUUUUUUUAUUUCCACUUUUAGGUCUUGGAGAGCUUCGUUCAGUUCCUUUGCCUGUUUACUGUGUUAUGCUAUAUUUCUUUAAUGGAUUUAUUUGUGACCUCUCUACAGGCUUCUAUCUGUUUACCUAUAUUUUUUCUGUAUUUCUUCCAGUGCUUUAUUUCUGUCUUUCUUAAAGGACUCUAUUAUCUACAUGAGGUAGGAUUUUACAUCAGUUUCCUGAUUUUCAGGUGUGUUGGUACAUUGGCACAUUGCUGUUUGGAAGAACUGGGUUUUGAUGUUGCCAAAGUAUAAUGGAUUCUGUUGCUUAUGGUCUUGUGCUUGCCUCUCACCACCUGGUUAUGCCUGGUUAUAGGUGAUCUGCAGCCUACCUUCUGUGUCUCUUAGUUGUUGUAGAUUACCUUUGAGGCCUGUGGCCCUUGCUGUUGCAGAUAUCCUAUGAGUUUUUCAGACUGCAUGUUCUUCAGAGGGGCAUGCACACCAGUGACCUAUUGCCCUGACCACAGUAGCUCUUCUGGGAAGAUUCAGACUCUGAGGACUUCAUGAGGCAGAGAAAUACUUUAUCUGUUUCCCUGGCUGAUUCACAUAUCCUGGAAGUUCUUCAGACUGUUGGGUCCUCAGAUGAGCUAUUCAGCUGUUGCCCUGUGUGCAACUAUUCUCUUGGGAAAACUUCAGACUAUGAGGUCUGUUGCCUUGUGUUUAACUGUUCUCUUGGGAGACCUUCAGACUAUGAGGUCUAUCACCCUGUGUGCAGGAGAACUCCAGUGAUUCUUUCAGACUGUUAGGUCAGUUUUCUUGUUUGAAAAGGAACUCCUUGGAGGCCUUUAAACUGUGGUGUCUUCAAAGGAGCAGGUAAGAUGGUGACUUGUACCAGAAGAAGUCACAGGCCAGAAAGGGAGUGUAAUUUGGGGGUGUGGGGUGGGGCUGAAGGUUUACUAGUCUGCUGGGCUCCUCAGGGUGCCCAAGCACUGCAGCUUCAACAUUUCAUUUUCAAAAUCUAAAGACCCUUUUUGUAGAAUACUGAAAUAAACAUAAUGUCUUAUUUAGUGGAAUAAUUUAUGGAUGUCAUCAUAGCACUUUGAGAAAAAGAUACAGGUGAGGAGCAAGCUUUACUUGGCAGCAAGGAGUUAUAAUUAGAAAGUCUCAGACAGAAAUGUGUGCUUUAUUAGAGACAACCAGGGUCUAGACAAUGUAGCCAGGUACAUAAUCAGGUUCCAGGCACCAUUGGCUGAUUUUCUUUGUUUGUAUUUGGAGAUAAAGGUCAGAGUAAAUUAUAUUUUCACCUUACACUUUCACUUUCAAUUCUUUUGCUGAAACACUUAGGGAUGAGAAACAGAUCAAUUAGAAGCAUGGGGAGUAUUGAAGAAGAUUAUUUCAGGGCUGUUCAUUUCAUUCUUUGGACUGAGAUGUCUUUACUGAUUGGUUUUUGAGCCAUUUUUUCUAUAUGAAUGUACACAGUCCUCCAAACAGAGGCAACCAGAGCAAAUAAAGAUAACUGGACUGAAGGUUUUUAUAGGCAGGCUUCUAGCAAUAGUAUAGCUGUCAGCUGAUUACAGUCAAAUCCUGAUAAUAAAAUGUUCCAAGGAAGAAAGAGUGCUAUUUCUUCCAAAACCUGUGGCCGAGAGAGCAAAUAAAAACCCAUAAGUAGUGACAUUCUGGAAGUCCCCAAACCCCUGAUAUGAGUAAGCUGCUUCUGUUUUCUGUGGAAGAAAUAUGUUCUUUCCUCUGAAGCAUCACUGCUGUCUCAGUAUUACAGUGCUUUCUAAUCUGAAAUGAGGAUGAGUCACUUUGGGAAUUAAUUUCUGUUGGAGAGCUACAGUUUCUUGGAGCAUCCACUCUUAAGAAUUGUUAUAGCAGGGACAAUUCUCACUUGUCCACCUAAAAUGCUCUGAAAUAUUUGAAUUGUAAACUUAGGAAGACAAAAUCCCACAUAACAUACAAUGACCUCUUUGGUUAUAGAAAUAUAGCACUAGUAAUUUUACUUAAUGUCCUUCUAUUGCCAUCAAGAUAUCCAGAGGUUCUUCUUUCUAAUACAAGUUUGAGAGUCAAGGCUAAAUUGUUAUUGAUAUUUGCCAAAGAGUAGCUGUUAUAGUUUAUUCUCACUUUCUUGUCUCCUGUUCCUUUCCAUGUGGUCAAGCAUGUCAUGAGAGUAGUGAAAAAUCAAUUAACUCUGUGUUAUACCAGACUCCUAUUCUAUAUUCAAAUUACAAGAAAUUUAUCCCACAGAUUUUCGUGUUCCUACCUAAUAAAGAAUCUCUUCUGACUUGUAUGUAUCUCCUCAUUAGUAUUGUGUUCAUGAUAAUUACUUCUGUUUUGGUAUGUCACAUGUAUUUAUGCAUUUUGACAGCUUUGCCUAAUUUCUUUCUGGAAACAUAAAGUCUUCUCUAAUUACAUUUCUUACAUACUAUCUUGUGUUCUUGUGUGCCCUUUGUAAUUUUAUCAAUAUCUGUUCCUUGUCGACCAUUAUACAGGAUAAUAUUGUUGUGAAAACUAAGGAGUUCAUUGAGAUACACCAAUAGUAAUUCAACAGACAGAAGCAAUAAAAGUAUUGAAAUUCUUAGAAAUAUUUGAGGAAGAAGUUUGAAUACCUCUCAGAAUAAUACAUUGACAGAUAAUGGCGCUAAUAUAUCUAUAGAAGUGAAUGAUUUAGAAUCAGAAAAGAGAGGAAACUAAGGACAGUAUCAAGAUACCACUACGGUAAACAGCAUUACUUAAAGAUUCUCUUUUGUAGCAUGUUUAGACAAGAAAAACAUGAAACCAGGGAGUCUUACUGUAUCCAUCUUGGAGUUGUUUAUAUUCUUUUAUAUGCAUGAGGACCUAGGUUAAUUGUACAAAUCAAAAGUUGGAUCUGAUUUCAGAUUGGGAAUUGCUCAAGGAGAUGGAUAUAUGGAUGUGUCACUUUGACAUAGAGAAUGAAGAAACUUAGAAAUUAUCAAAGUCUAUUGUCCUAAUUUUAAUCUGUAUUCUCCAUAAAUUCAAUAUUUAUUAUACUAAACUGCUAAGGAAUGUGAUAGCUUUAAACAAUAGACAGCUAAAAUAUUAUUUUGUUACCUGAGAGAAUUUUUCCUAACUAUGAUUUAUCAUACCAUGCAAUAUGAAAAUUUAACCUUAAAUUUUUUUUAAAGAAUAAUAAGAAGUAUCACAAAAAUUAUUAUAUA